UACGUAGGGGGCUAGCGUUGUCCGGAUUUAUUGGGCGUAAAGAGCGCGCAGGCGGUCGUUCAAGUCGAGUGUGAAAGCCCCCGGCUCAACUGGGGAGGGUCACUCGAUACUGAUCGACUCGAAGGCAGGAGAGGGAAGUGGAAUUCCCGGUGUAGUGGUGAAAUGCGUAGAUAUCGGGAGGAACACCAGUGGCGAAGGCGACUUCCUGGCCUGUUCUUGACGCUGAGGCGCGAAAGCUAGGGGAGCAAACGGG
rnacentral:rRNA from 1 species